GACGAACGCUGGCGGCGUGCUUAACACAUGCAAGUCGAGCGGUAAGGCCCUUUCGGGGGUACACGAGCGGCGAACGGGUGAGUAACACGUGGGUGACCUGCCCUCAGCUCUGGGAUAAGCCUGGGAAACCGGGUCUAAUACUGGAUAUGACUCCAUGACGCAUGUUGUGGGGUGGAAAGCCUUGUGCGGCUGAGGAUGGGCCCGCGGCCUAUCAGCUUGUUGGUGGGGUGANGGCCUACCAAGGCGACGACGGGUAGCCGGCCUGAGAGGGCGACCGGCCACACUGGGACUGAGACACGGCCCAGACUCCUACGGGAGGCAGCAGUGGGGAAUCUUGCGCAAUGGGCGAAAGCCUGACGCAGCGACGCCGCGUGAGGGAUGACGGCCUGGUGUAACGU
rnacentral:rRNA from 1 species